CACAAAUAAAAAGAAUUAUUUGACUUGAGUUUUAAUUUAAUUAAUGCGUUUUAAAUAUUAUUUUCGUUUAAUUCCAGAAAAACUAUUUCAAAACAAAAGUUUGGACUUACAUCUACAUACAAGUAGUGUUUUUUAGGGUGGACCUAAGAACACAAAUUAAGUGAACAAAAAUAUCUUCAGUAGGAUAUUAAGUCCAAGUUUGAUAAUGGAGCUUAAUUAUGACGGUACUAGGGACAGGGAAGGUUUUGCGUCCUACAUUCAUUUAAAUGAAACAUUAUUCGAGUCACAAAGAAGAGACGGUUACCGCUUCACAGACCAUUUUAAAGACCUUCGACUGGCCUUCACUAGGGCCAAAAAUAAAACUUAUAAGGGUAAAAGUAUGGCCAAAAAGAUGAGAGAGGACGAAAACGGCCAGGAGUAAUACAAUAAGUU